CUAUGUGGGCCACACUGCCCUUCUCUCAUUAUUUAUGCGGUUCCGCUCUCCACUCUCCACUCAUCCGAAACCCCUUUCUCAUCAUCACUCUCCUCCUCUCCACCGCUCCCACACCCACCUCCGUCCCGUCGGCCAUGGACUCGGCAAAGAUCAAAGAAGAAGAAGAUUUGGGGAGUUCUAUCAGAAGCUUCUGGGAUGGGUAGUACGCACGGAGUGAGAGAUUGGCGGCGGAGAUAGCCGGCGGCAGUCGGCAGCGAGAUGUUCAGUCCAGUAGCACCAAUGUGCCUCGUACUAUAAGUAAUCCGCCCCGUCAUUGUUGGUACAACUGAUUUGCAUGCUAGGUUUUCUCAAAUCUUCCGUCAUUGCCGUAUUCAAAUAGGUAGAUUUAAGGUGGCUGUUCCAAUCUAGGCUGAUUUGCAUGCGAGGUUUUUUAUGCAGUUGUUCCUUUCAAAACCGCAUGGAAUUGGUCACAGUAGAUUAAUUUUAAAGCUACGCUUAAUCCUCAUCAACAAUUGAUACGGAUCUUCUUACCUUUGGAACGGAACCUUUAGAUUCGCCCCCAAGCACAUAGAACCGCCAAAUUCUUAGCCACUGCACUCUGAUGUACUAUUUGAAAUGAGGCAUAAUCCCCAAUAAGGAACUACCGUAACCACAGAAAUGCAUGAUUACGAUAUUAUAAUGGGGAUUUCUAAUAGCCAGUCACUGCCUAAAGAUUCGAUCAUAAUGUACUAAGUUGUAUGGUUUGUACUCUAACUAGUCCCAUGUUCUUGCGGAUUGCUAAAUGAAUACAGGAGGUUAAAAUGGAAAUGGAAGAACCAAACCAUGUGUUGGCAGCACCGCGCGUUUCAACGCUGGCGAAGACGACUGUACAGGGAUCGUUGCUAGCAGCUGAAUGUGAGAAGAAAAGACAGAGAGAUGUUUUGGCAGGUUGUACCAAGCAAGCAAGUGCCGCUACGCCCGCUGUUGAUUCAUCUCUCCAUGGACUUGCACGUUCUCCUGCUGCUCAUGUUGCUCCUGCUGCAGUGCUUCAUCAUUCUGCUUCAGCUCGUCCUGCUUCACCAGAACUCCCAGAACGACCUCACAACAAGCUGCUGAAGAACCUAUAUUCAGACAAGACAGUGAUUGUGGAUAUUCUCGGGGCACGCAAGAGUGAGUACAGGGGUAGGGCCUUCCCCUGAAAACUUGGCAUGUUCCUGAUGUUCAUACUCCUAGCCGUUUUACGGUUCAGAUAGAUUUAGAUCAGAAUCUUCAAUUGUUCGUGUUGCCGAAAGGAGUCGAGAAAUUCUUCAAGGGCAUAGUCCAUCGGUGCAUAAAUUUGCGCACAAGCCAUCAUUGCCACUGGAACGUACAUUUGAGCCGCUAUGAGGAGAAACUAGUCUUCAAUGAUGUCAAAGCUGGUUGGCGGAAGUUUGCAGAUCACCAUGAUCUCAGGAAUGGUGACAUCCUCACCUUCACCGUGGUUGAUGCGAACAAGCUAGAUGUGAAGAUCUACAGCACAGCGGACUCGAUGCAGAAGAAUAUGGAGUAUCGUGAGCACAAAUAGUUUGCUAUCUCGCCUCGUACAUGGUGAAGUGAAGUUUACUGUCAGCAGUGAUAAAAUGGUCUUUUGCGUUCACCACCUGCAGUGAUUCAGUGAUCUUUAGAACUAUGUUUGUUUGUUACCAUACCUUUAGGUUUUAUCAUGAACUAUGUUGGUCUGCUACCUUACCUUUUGUUUGUAUCAUGAGCCUGUCCCUAAAUCUAUUUAAGAGUCUAACUAUAUGUUCUCAUCUUUGGUCAAAUCUUUAAGCCUA